UGGACAUAUGCUCGACAUUGCUAAAUUGGAACGAUACAGAGACGAUAGCAUGUCCCCUGCGCAAGGAUGACGUUACAAAUCGAGAUAUUCGUUUUAGGCUUUU
rnacentral:snRNA from 1 species